rnacentral:snRNA from 1 species
AUAUUUACAGUGCAUUUUCUUUGUAAGUUACAGUGUAAUUUAUGAAACUUACAUUGUAACUUUUGUAAGUUACACUGUAAUUUUUGAAUCUUCGCAUGUAAAUUUUAAAUUUUGUAUUGGAUUUGGUCUUUUUCUUGAGGAUAUGGU